CCUACGGGGGGCUGCAGUGAGGAAUAUUGGUCAAUGGGCGAGAGCCUGAACCAGCCAAGUCGCGUGAAGGAUGAAGGAUCUAUGGUUUGUAAACUUCUUUUAUAUGGGAAUAAAGUGAGGAACGUGUUCCUUUUUGUAUGUACCAUAUGAAUAAGCAUCGGCUAACUCCGUGCCAGCAGCCGCGGUAAUACGGAGGAUGCGAGCGUUAUCCGGAUUUAUUGGGUUUAAAGGGUGCGUAGGUGGUUAAUUAAGUCAGCGGUGAAAGUUUGUGGCUCAACCAUAAAAUUGCCGUUGAAACUGGUUGUCUUGAGUAUAUUUGAGGUAGGCGGAAUGCGUGGUGUAGCGGUGAAAUGCAUAGAUAUCACGCAGAACUCCGAUUGCGAAGGCAGCUUACUAAACUAUAACUGACACUGAAGCACGAAAGCGUGGGGAUCAAACAGGAUUAGAUACCCCUGUAGUC
rnacentral:rRNA from 1 species